GCCAGCAUGGUGUAGUGGUUUGAGUGUUGGACUAUGACUCUGGAGACCAGGGUUUGAUUCCCUGAUCAGCCA
rnacentral:tRNA from 1 species